UCCUAUAAAAGCCUACUCUCAUAAUAGGUUAAACUGAAAUAAAUCUUUGUUUAACAUGUUUAUUUGUGUGUUUGGAUGACGCAUGAUGUGUUCAACACAUCUGCACAUGAGUGCAAGAAGUCACACUUUAAGGUCACUUAGUGGUGACCUAAAAAUUUUUUUUGGUAAGUUGGGAUAUGCAAGUAAAUGACCAGUUUAAAUUUCCAUGGAGAUAAGUGUAACACAUUGAAUUGAAUUUGUAAUUUGCAGAGAUUGCCAGGGAAUUUACAUAAGUAGUGAAAUGAAGUGAAGUUUUUUUUUAAACUUUGGUGAUGAAAAAUUUACUUAAAAAUAUUAAUGUGAUAUGGCUUAAACAAAUGUUUGUACUUUUUGUUGUAUUUCCAGUUUUAAUUACAGAAAAUUGAUUAUUUUUUUUAGAGAAAAAAGAUGUUUUUUGAACUUCAUUAUUGUCAAUAAAUUUUGCAAUAAAUGUUUGCACACUUUAAAAAUUCUUUUGAAACAGUAAGCUUUUUGAGGUGAAAGAAACAGUGAAUUGAUUUUCCUCUAUCAUGUCUAUAACAAGAGAUAAAAUUUAAUCAUUUUAAUGUAUUGAAUAAGAAACAUCUGUAACCAUUUUAGUGUUAUUAUUAAGAAAAAUGAUUUUAAUGUAAUUUCUUUGUUCUUUUCUUUUCAAGAAACUGAAGAUGCCAGCUCAAACAAGGAGGAAGAGGAAAGAAAAUAGAAAGACUGAAGAAGUUACUUAUGUAAAAGACCAAAUCGUAUAUUGUUUAUGGAGGGGGAUAUGGUGGCCCGGUUCCGUGGAGAGGGUUUUAAAAAACGAUGUGUACCAAAUUUCCUUUUGGAAAGAGGAGGAAAGAAAAAAUAAAGAAGCAGGCUGAUCUGAAAUAUAAAUAUAUGGAAGACGUAGAAUAUGCUAAAUCUUUGAGCAAAAACAAAUUGGCACCACCCCACACCUUGAGUUUGCAGAACCCUCCAGCUUCAUGUGAAGAGGUGCCUACCACAAGUGAUAAGCAAGGACAAGAGAGGGUACCACCCCACACCUUGAGUACACAGAGCGGUCCACCUUCAUGUGAAGAGGAGCCUACCACUAGUGAUAAGCAAGGACAAGAGAGGGCACCACCCCACACC